AGAGUUUGAUCCUGGCUCAGGACGAACGCUGGCGGCGUGCUUAACACAUGCAAGUCUAAGGAGAAAGUUCCUUCGGGAGCGAGUAAACUGGCGAACGGGUGAGUAACGCGUAGGUAACCUGCCCUUAAGCUCGGGAUAACCCGCCGAAAGGUGAGCUAAUACCGGAUAAUAUCUUUCCUCAUAAGGGGAAAAAUCAAAGGUGGCUUCGGCUAUCACUUAUGGAUGGGCCUGCGUCUGAUUAGCUAGUUGGUAGGGUAACGGCCUACCAAGGCAAUGAUCAGUAGCUGGUCUGAGAGGAUGAUCAGCCACAUUGGGACUGAGACACGGCCCAAACUCCUACGGGAGGCAGCAGUGGGGAAUAUUGCACAAUGGGGGAAACCCUGAUGCAGCGAUGCCGCGUGAGUGAAGAAGGCCCUUGGGUUGUAAAGCUCUUUCGUCGGGGAAGAAAAUGACUGUACUCGAAUAAGAAGGUCCGGCUAACUUCGUGCCAGCAGCCGCGGUAAUACGAAGGGACCUAGCGUAGUUCGGAAUUACUGGGCUUAAAGAGCUCGUAGGUGGUUAGAAAAGUUGGUGGUGAAAUCCCAAGGCUUAACCUUGGAACUGCCACCAAAACUUUUUGACUAGAGUAUGAUAGAGGAAAGUGGAAUUUCUAGUGUAGAGGUGAAAUUCGUAGAUAUUAGAAAGAACACCAAUUGCGAAGGCAACUUUCUGGAUCAUUACUGACACUGAGGAGCGAAAGCAUGGGUAGCGAAGAGGAUUAGAUACCCUCGUAGUCCAUGCCGUAAACGAUGUGUGCUAGACGUUGGGAAUUUAGUUCUCAGUGUCGCAGCAAAAGCGUUAAGCACACCGCCUGGGGAGUACGACCGCAAGGUUAAAACUCAAAUGAAUUGACGGGGACCCGCACAAGUAGUGGAGCAUGUGGUUUAAUUCGAAGAUACGCGCAGAACCUUACCAACACUUGACAUGUUCGUCGCGACUCUAAGAGAUUAGAGUCUUCGGUUCGGCCGGACGAAACACAGGUGCUGCAUGGCUGUCGUCAGCUCGUGUCGUGAGAUGUUGGGUUAAGUCCCGCAACGAGCGCAACCCUUACUUUUAGUUGCUACCAUUUAGUUGGGCACUCUAAAAGAACUGCCGGUGAUAAGCUGGAGGAAGGCGGGGAUGACGUCAAGUCCUCAUGGCCCUUACGUGUUGGGCUACACACGUGCUACAAUGGUACUUACAGUGAGAAGCAAAGAGGCGACUCUAAGCCAAUCCCAAAAAGGUACCUCAGUUCGGAUUGUACUCUGCAACUCGAGUACAUGAAGCUGGAAUUACUAGUAAUCGCGGAUCAGCGCGCCGCGGUGAAUGCGUUCCCGGGUCUUGUACACACCGCCCGUCACACCAUGGAAGUUGGUUACACCUUAAG
rnacentral:rRNA from 1 species